AGGUUCCACCUGGAAAACCACCUUUCAAAAAUCUUCCACCCAUUUCUCUCUAAUGGAAAAUUGUUCUCAGCGCUUGCCAGGGAGUUUUGAAAAAACAAAAAGAAAAAGAAAAGUUUGUUCAUAAAAAUACCGAGAACUUGUUGGAAAAAAAAGAUCAAUCUCAUUGCAUUAGAAUACUGCAUACCUCAUACAUAUCUAACUAUCCAUAGCUAUCCAUUUCACCAAAAUAACUUUUCGAACCUCAGCAGCUGCCUUGCACAAAAGCUAUCUUGUUC
rnacentral:lncRNA from 1 species